rnacentral:tRNA from 1 species
GGCAAGAUGACUGAAAUAGUAGAGGAUUGUAAAUUCUUUUAUGUAAGUGAAAGCCUUACUCUUCGCCA